rnacentral:rRNA from 1 species
UACAGAGGUCUCAAGCGUUGUUCGGAUUCAUUGGGCGUAAAGGGUGUGUAGGUGGCGCCGUAAGUCGGGUGUGAAAUUUCGGAGCUUAACUCCGAAACUGCAUUCGAUACUGCGGUGCUUGAGGACUGGAGAGGAGACUGGAAUUCAUGGUGUAGCAGUGAAAUGCGUAGAGAUCAGGAGGAACACCCGUGGCGAAGGCGGCCCCCUGGGUCGGCCCUGACGCUGAGGCGCGAAAGCGUGGGAGCGAACGGG